AUUGAACGCUGGCGGCAGGCCUAACACAUGCAAGUCGAACGAGUGGCGGACGGGUGAGUAAUGUCUGGGAAACUGCCUGAUGGAGGGGGAUAACUACUGGAAACGGUAGCUAAUACCGCAUACCAUCGGAUGUGCCCAGAUGGGAUUAGCUAGUAGGUGGGGUAAAGGAUCACCUAGGCGACGAUCCCUCGCUGGUCUGAGAGGAUUACCAGAAACACUGUAAUGGAGACACGGUCCAGACUCUACGGGUGGGAAGCAUGGGGGAAGAUUGCACAAUGGGGGAAAGCCUGAUGCAGCCAUGCGGUUGUGAUGAAGAAGGCCUUCGGUUUGUAAAGUACUUUCAGCGGGAAAGCGUUACCCGCAGAAGAAGCACCGGCUAACUCCGUGCCAGCCGCCGCGGUAAUUC
rnacentral:rRNA from 1 species